AUGUCAACACGUGACUUUAUCAGUAUUUCUCGAACCAAUGGAUAUUUGGCCCAUUUCUUAUCCACAACCCCCAUUAAAGUCAUUAAAAUGUUUCAUUUAAAUUCUACAGACAAUACAAUUAAUACAUGGAUUCUUCUGGUCUGUGUAUGCAAUUCAUACUACCUUGCUUAGAAGCACUCUCACCAGUGCCCUGUGGAUGAAAUCAGAAUUUUGAUUCCAACUUACAUCACCUUCCUUGGGCAUAAAUACAUUUGAGAAGACGAUGAAAACCAGAAAUCAAAAUGUUGCUUUUCUUGAUACAGCACCAAAUUCCGUACCCUCUCUGAGGCUUCUUGUAGUCAUCCCCUCUCCUCCAAAUUUGCUAAUGUGAUCAUGUUGAUAAAGAGUGAAUAGAUUUAAGUCCUUAUUUUCCUUUGAGCUUUAGCAUAAAGUGCUCCUAAGAACAUAUCUUAUUUAUAUAAAAUAGGCAUGCAUGCAUACACAAUCUCUACCUAUACCAAAGCAUUUUCUUUAUUAUAAUGAGAUGUAUCUUUCUGGAUUUUCUGCACAAUCAGACUGUAAUUAAGCAUAGGAGGCUGCAGGUAAGGGCAUGAGAUGCAUGUUUAAUUAAAAGAGAAAAUUCUGGUUAAGUAUCAAUUUGUAUGACAUUCAAUUUACAAGAAUUCAGAAAGCUACUCUUUCUUAUAUAUUUCCUUUUAUAUAUGUGUAUGUAUUUACACACAUGUAUGUUUCACACUGAAAUCAUAUUCUCAUUUCAUAUGCUAGAGUUGCUGCCACAUUUACUGCCCCCAUCCAAGAAAAUGUUGAUAUAUAUUGAAAAUCUCCAUGAAAAAUAAAAUGCCUGCAUAAAUUCAUGUAGGGCAAAUAAAAAAAGCAGCCAGGACCCAGCAGGCUGAGUCAAUGUAUAGCUUGCAUAUGGAAACAAUGACAUGAUUGUUUACUCACUGGUUUAAUGAUAUUCACUUUCUCCUAAUGGCAACGUGGAAAAUGUGAGUACCAGAUGCUGCGCCCAGAGCACAGAAGAGAGAACAGGGAAGGUCUAGAGUAAGGAAUUUAUCCUGACACCAUAAUGUAGUGUAACUCUUCAGUUUAUUAACGUGGUGUUUUUUUUAGGAAAAAAUGCUUUGAUGUCUGCGGCUUAAAUUUCCAUAUUUUUAUAACAGUUCAGCAACAAAUUUACAUAUUUCCUGGAAUCUGCAGAUAUAAAAGCGGUAAAACACUCCAGGCAUUAUUAGACAGUAGAUUAUAACCCAUUACUAUUGUUUCAAUUAGCAAUGUAAAAGUGACCUGCAGUGUUCCGAUGACCCACUAAUGGAUUUAAACGCUUUCAAAUAUUAAUGCAGGUUUUCUAAAGAUGAAUCCCAAACCCAUUAUUCCUGGAACAACUAUGAGCUGAAAAGCUGGCAAUGAUUGUGCAUUAUGUGGAAAGGCUCAUGGUUAAUUAAAUGAAUACCUAGCAUUACACUAUUCACUUUAGUGCUACAAAAUUAUUUCUCAUUGAUUUUUACAUUCUGAGUCUGUGAUUCAAUUUACUUCUGCAAUUUGUGUUGUCGUGUCAAUAAAAGAGAACUGCUUGAAGAUGGAAGCAUUAGAGACUGAUAAAUACAUUAAGAUCCAAUGAAAACUGCAGUUUUCCUAUUGUUUUCCUCUAUUGAAAUAUCAUUUUUAGCAGCACUUUGUUAUGUAUUAUUAAUACAAUUUUUGUUUGCUUCCAUCUGCUCUCCUCUCCCCUUUUCUAUUCAGGAACUGGAAUGUUAGUGAUUGCUUGAGGGUGAGUAGCUAAUUUUUCAGUAACAGUUCUCUCACUAUCAAGAACAAAAGCACCAUCAACACAAAUCUGUUAUUUCGUGUUAAAUGAACUAGAAGGCCAGAUUCUUCAUCAAAGACAGCGUGGGGAGUUACUGUGUGUGGGUGUGUUUUAAUUUCAAGGAGCAAAUGACACUCCUGUCUGUUAAGCCAUGAAAGCCAAAAAAUAUUAAAUAGUUCUAACCCCAUUAUACAAUUUAUACACUAUAAAUAUAAUCUGAUAUAUUUAUAACGUGCAUAUUUUAUUCAAAAAUUAUAUUACACAUUUUACAAUUGAAUCCACAUGUGCAUUUUCUCUUUGCAACCUACUUUGACUCAGUUCUAUAAAAGUCCAAAAUUGUAAGUUGAGAUUUGCUGUUAACAUUUUUUUUCAAAAUUUUGCAAACUUCAGCUUCAUAGUUUUUGGUGUCUAAAGAAAUCUUACGUGCUAUUUUCAUGUGAUUUAGACUCAUAAUGCAGGAGUUGUUUGGUAUAUAUUGUAAAUUUAAUAUUUCCUGAGAAAAGUUGGUUUACCAGUCAAAUACAGCAAUCAAUAUUGUCUACCUAGUUCAUUGGAGUUUAUGGUGCCCAAACUGUCUCCAUGAAGAUGCUCAUUAGAUCUCAACUUAUCCCAUGUUUAAAUUUGUCUGUACUCUCUUUAGAGAACAUGGGUAAUCAAAUCUUAACUAAGCUGUUACAUUCAUCUCUGAAGGAGUCCCCUUCCAUUGUCUACAAUCUUCUCACAAAACCCAUCUUCAAGACAUUAGUUUUUAUAUUGAUCUGAGUUGCUGAUUAGAGUUUGACCAUUGAUAGGCUAUAGAGCCUACAACAUAGAAAAAUUUACAAUGAAGGUCAUUUCACAAAUAGUUUUAAGCAAAGAGCAUCCUAUAGACAUGAAAUAAUCAAAAUAAUACAAAUGACCGAUAAAUGUAAGUUUAACUUCCCUAUAAAUUAAUGAAUGCUGAUUUAAAGAAAUUAGCUGCAUUUUGCAUAUAAAAUUGUCAAAGUGGAGAAGAGAGCAUAGUAUAAUAUUUAAUAUUGGUGACAGAAUAUAUAUAUAUAUAUAUAUAUAUAUAUAUAUAUAUAUACACACAUAUACAUCCAUACAUAUAUAUAUCACUGGUGGGAUGUACAGAGAUGCAACUUUUCUAAAGGUAGUUUGGACAUAAAGUAUUUUUAAAUUUUGUAAAUUUUUUAUACCUUCCACUCUAAAAUUCUACUUUUUGGAAUUUAAGCUCAAGAAAAAAUUAUAAAUAUGUAAAAACAUUUAGUUUUAUAAGCUGUUCAUCUAGACCUUACUUCAAGUGUCAUUUAUGAGAAUAAAAAAUUUGAAAGCAUCCUAAAUGUUUAAAAUGAGGAAUAUGUUAAUAAAUUAUGGUACUUAGUAUAAUUAAGUAUUAU
rnacentral:lncRNA from 1 species